AUGUGCUUAGGACAUUCAGCUUUUUUUUUUUUUUUUUUUUUUUUUUUUUUUUUUUUUUCCACAGAGAAGAUAACCUUUCAGCCUGGUGUCAGCAGUAGGUCUGGUUCAUAUGGAUGUUACCACCCAUGGUCUCUGCUUUCUGAGGAGGAAGAUCCCAUGCAUCCUUAUACAGAGAACAGAAGAUGAUCAGGAAAAAACAGUCAGUGACCUGAAAACCAGAAAUUUUUAGACAAAAUCUGCAAAAGGUAGGUAUUUUUAAUACAGUAGAUUCUCAAAAUAACAAUAGUCCUAAAGUACUGUGGGUUCUUCAAAAUAAUCAAAGCCAGAAGCAACAAAAAAAAAAAAUCCCCACAAAACUCACAAUUAAAAGAUAGGGGAAAAGCAGUAGGGCACAUAGAAUAGAUGUAAGAAAGCCAAAGAAGAGGAUAAACCAUGGGUGAGAAUGAAGACAUAUGUGACUGGGUAAGUUCUUUAAGAGAAAAUGAUCCAUGAGCUUGGGCUGCGUGUGAUCUUUAAAAAUAAAGACAGCAGAACACAGAGGUCA
rnacentral:lncRNA from 1 species